CUCACCCUGGGCACUUUUGCUUGUUCUGAUAAGAUUCAUGCAACCACACACUGUGCCAGGUCAAGCUUUUUGAUUCUGACUUCUGCUCGCUUUCAUGUAGGUAUCUGGAAGCGCAGAAAGGAGGUUAAAUAAACACAAAGCUCAUUAAAAUAAACCUCCACCAACUCCCACUCCCUUUUCUUUUUUCUCUGCUGUACAGGAAUGUGCUGUCGGGCUUCACAUCCUACGCAGAACUACUGCAGGACUUCAGGGUGUUUCUCCUCAGGGAAACGUCUGACUUCAUCGUUAGUGUUCAUGCCCUCGGCCUUUUGAUGUGACUGCGCUGUUUGUUCACCAGCGCCAGCGGUCUGCUGUCUCCCAUUCAGCUAUCGGCUCACUUGGUAAAUCCCUCCUCCCACCACCACACACUGGAAGGCUGCACCAGAUGCAUUGUUGGCAUUUGACACCAGGAGGUAAGCAUGGGGCCCUUCACUGAACACUUCUUGCAACAUCGAGGGAGGAGGAAGCUGCUGUGGUUUGGUUGCUGCAGAAACCAGCUGAAAGAGAGGAAGGUUCAGUCCAUCCAUUGGCAUGAGGAUUUAUCUGAUCAAAGCAACUCAGCUAAACCUUUCACCAAGGGAGUGUCAGCUGCUUGCAGAUGGAGAUCCAGGCUGCUGACAGAGCUUAACAUGAAGCAGUAGGGAGUCAACUGGACUCUUAACUAGCUGAGGAAGCUGGAGUACCCAGAGAGAACCCACGCAUACACAGGGAGAACAUGCAGACUCCAUGCAGAAAGACCCCAGGCCAGGAGUCAAAUCCAGGACCUUCUUGCUGCAAGGCAACAGUGCUACCAACUGCACCACAGUGCAACCCUAAACCUUAAAACUUUGGGUUUAUAUUAUCUGUAAGCCAUAAUCAUCAAAAUGACAAGAAAUAAAGGCUUGAAAUAUUUCACUGUCUAAUCAAUCUAUAUGUGAGUUUAUUUUCUAAACUGGGUGACAGAAAAUAUUGAACUUUUUCACAAUCAAAUUUUUUUUUGUAGAGUACCUGUACACAUUGUUCCUUUUUAUCUUAAUUCUGUUUCCUUUAAAGUUUAUAUAUGUAUACCUAAUGUCUGUACGCCGUGAGCGAAUGAAACUGAAGCAAAAUGCCUUGUUUGUGCUCACAAACCUGAAGACUGUAAUGUAUUAAAAUGAAUUGGGUUGACUGGGACUGAGUUUGGAUUCAAUUGGAUUCUAUAUAAUUACAUGUGAGUUUGACAGCUUUGAGAUGCUAUUGCUGUGAACUGGUGUUAUUUUUAAAUAAACUGAUCUGAAUUGAAAACUGGUGCAGUGCAUAAUGGGGACUGUGAAUUAUACAUAUAUAAUACUCAAAUGCUGUACCAUAUAGAGUCGCCAUGUGGCCUGGUGUGAGAGUCAUGAUCUGUAAUAGAUUUGUAAACUGAUUUCUUCACACAGAGAGAAGAGCUUUCACUCUUUUCCUUUGUUUAUUAGAGAAAUUAACAAUGUAUUGAACAACAUCUGGACAAGGGCAGCAAUAACAGGCACCUGUCUGUUUCAGCCGAUUGGUACAAAGGUAAAGAGGAAGACAUUUGAAGCUAUGAAAGGUGAACUGAUGUAAGACAAUGGAGAAUGGAGAAAGCAGAGUAGUAACGGCCUCUUUUGUGUUUAAAGGAUUCAGACUUCUUUAUAAAUUCAUGGUUGGAGAAAAUGUACUGUAAAUACCAGAGGUCUGCAACCUGUGACACAAUGUGUUACCUUCUAGUCUUUCUAGAGUGCUGUUAUUAGUUUUAAAUUAAGUCAUUUGACUUUAAAUCGUGGCGUUCUUAUUUUGGAAUUAUCAAAGAUAAAUUUUUCUAAGACAAGUUAAUUUAUAUUGUCAAUCGUUAGCAAUAAGUGUGGAGAAAUCUUUUUAUUUAUUAUUCACACAGGUGUACCACAAGGCUGAUAUCUUUGUCCACUUCUUUUCAGUUUAUUAAAAAAUUUGUGCUGUUAAGGAGUUUCUAACAGACACCAAUGACAGAAGAAAUGUUUUAUUUGUUGUUAUUUGUAGUUUUUUAACUGUGCUAACUGUUUGGUUGCACCCAUUUAAUAUUUUCCUGGCAGAGAUGCACGGGGCUCCUGAACUGCAGAUGUUUUUAUGUUUUUUUAGUUCUGAAACCUACAAGUAAAAAUGAAAUUACCUGUGGCUCUUCACCGUAUUCUUUUAGUAGGUAAAGUUUUAUAUGUCGCCAACAUGGCUUGUGCAAAAGUGAAAGAAAUUUUACCACAUUGUCGACUUUUUUCUCACCCCUUUAGCUGUACUAUUACACACAGGUGACAUCUGAUGGUAAUGAGUGGUGUUUUAUGUCAUUUUAUCAGAUUAAAGAGG